rnacentral:rRNA from 1 species
CAGUAGCCGCGGGAAUACGGAGGGUGCAAGCGUUAAUCGGAAUUACUGGGCGUAAAGCGCACGCAGGCGGUUUGUUAAGUCAGAUGUGAAAUCCCCGAGCUUAACUUGGGAACUGCAUUUGAAACUGGCAAGCUAGAGUCUUGUAGAGGGGGGUAGAAUUCCAGGUGUAGCGGUGAAAUGCGUAGAGAUCUGGAGGAAUACCGGUGGCGAAGGCGGCCCCCUGGACAAAGACUGGCGCUCAGGUGCGAAAGCGUGGGGAGCAAACAGGAUUAGAUACCCCGGUAGUCCCUGUCUCUUAUAC